GCACUGCUGAGGAGCUCCAUAAUAGAACGAAACGGUCGUCCAGUAC
rfam:Schistosoma haematobium scaffold426_16, whole genome shotgun sequence.